CGGGCUGAUUCUGGAUUCGACGGGAUUUGCGAAACCCAAGGUGCAUGCCGAGGGGCGGUUGGCCUCGUAAAAAGCCGCAAAAAAUAGUCGCAAACGACGAAAACUACGCUUUAGCAGCUUAAUAACCUGCUUAGAGCCCUCUCUCCCUAGCCUCCGCUCUUAGGACGGGGAUCAAGAGAGGUCAAACCCAAAAGAGAUCGCGUGGAAGCCCUGCCUGGGGUUGAAGCGUUAAAACUUAAUCAGGCUAGUUUGUUAGUGGCGUGUCCGUCCGCAGCUGGCAAGCGAAUGUAAAGACUGACUAAGCAUGUAGUACCGAGGAUGUAGGAAUUUCGGACGCGGGUUCAACUC
rnacentral:tmRNA from 1 species